UACAAAGAACACGCCGACGAGGAACUCUUCUGCA
rnacentral:scRNA from 1 species